GUAGGGCGUUUAUUUUCUUGUCACAAAUAAAUACAGAUUAUCACCAAACAGAAAGCUUUACAUUAAUAUAUAUAUAUACACUUAAAACAGUAUAUGUGAACACAUCUCAUUAAGUUUAGACAAGGUAACAGUCACAUAACAAUAAUUUGUCUUGUUCAGGUGCAUUUUUUCCCAGUCAUUUUCCAUCGUUUACCUUUCCAUGAUAAUCUCACAGAUUCCUGAGGUACUGUCCCCUGCCUCCUCCCUCCCUCCUCUCCACAGGUCUCUGAGGUAACAGUUCUCUCGGGUAACGGACAGGGCCGGGCUGCCUUUGAACGCACCAGCGGCAGACAGGAGACACAGCCGCUCUCUGUGAAUGCACGUCGCUGGUGUCCACUGUGACCUUGUUCCUUGCGGGAGAGUGGGCUCUCUGGCGCUGCAGGCGGUGGAGUGACGAGGGCGGGUGGGGUCGGGGUCGCAGAGAGGCGCGAGGAGGCGCGGAGGUAUUUCUUCGCGCGCUGCUGCGGAUUCUUGUGUCCGGUCGCCAAUGGGUGGGGGUGGUUUUGCACCACACGCCCCCCCCCCGGUGCAGCCUGUGGGUGGGUCUCGAAUUCCUCGCGGGGCUACACCCUGACAGCUGCCGCCGCAAAACCACCCCUGGCCUGUGUGAGGGUGACGGCGUUCCCCGAGACGCCUGAGGUGCGCGCGCGCUUGGACACCGGGCCCCGGACACGUACUCCGUGCAGUCACGCGGAUUGCAAGAACAGAGCACGGUCAACAAACUCCCACUGUGUGGGCGAAUCGUCCAUUUCCCCAGCAUUUCUGGGAGGCAAAGGAGCAGAGUUCAGCUUCACUCCUCCUGCAUUCCUUCGGUACACUCAGUGCUCAACACCCCUCUGUUUCAGAGAAACUGGCCUAAGUGGCUUCAGCCUUCCAUCUCCUGCAAAAUCUACCCUGUUGGUUCGGUUCUUCAUACUCCUGCAGUCGUUCUUGGUUUCCUCAUGGGGAGGGGGGGGGGGGUCUCACUCCUGGUCCUGGGGACCCCCCCAUCCAGCUGGGCCCCCAAUCGCCAGCGCUAACUGAUGACCACAACCGAGCUGCUGUCUGGCUCAGCCAGAACCUGAUGCAGUGUCUCGUCAACUUGCUACUGGAGAAUUUAUGCAAAAUUUAGUUUUGACCAAAAGAGAAGGAAACGCCUAGCAGACAGGUGGGAAUGAAAAACUUUUUUUCUUCUACUUGAGACCGAUUAGUUUCAGCUGACACACCGAAGGGGGGGGGUACUGGGAUGUGGUCACUGGUGCAACGCUGACACCUGCUGCAGACGUUUAAAACGUCUAUUCAGAUAUGCAGCUGAAAGAAAAGUUUAGAACACUUAAAAUAGGAAACUGAAAUCAAUUUGCCUGCAAUUUCAGUCUCGACUAGAACUAAACAGAUGGAAUGCUCCUCCGGAACCAACACUUUGAACCACCAGCAUGCAGGAGAGAUCUUAUAUUCUGAUUUUUUUCCAAGGUGUGAUUAGAAAUAGCUCAGGUCCCAGUACGAGCUCCGAGAUUCAGCCGGGAACUGAACCAUACCCCUCCCCCUGAAACAAUCAGAAAAAAGUAUAGUAAAGUGCCAUGAAAUUGUGGUAAAAGCCAGGUAAAACCAGAGGAGAACAUGGAAAACGAAAUACCGCACCAUGCAAUGUAAUUUACCUAGGUAAACUGAGUUCACUCAGAAGACAGCAGAUUUAACAGCAAACAGAAGCUCUGAAAAACGGUUACAUAAAUCUAACCAAAUCUCAUUCGUUAAAAUAAAGUGUACAAGGACAAGCGAGUAAUUCAUAUGUAUAUUUUUAAAGAUCAUUUUUAUAACCAGCACAUAGGAUUUCAACUCCAUGCUCCUGUACCAGGAAAAAAAUACAAAAAUCAGAUUUUACAUAGUUUUUAGUACAAUUCUAUAUAGCUGUACAUGUUGAAAGACUGAUAUAUAUAUAUGAAUAUAGGCACAAGCUCUACGUGUUAACAGGAGAGGAUUACAGCGGACAGAAAUGUCACUUAGUAGCCAAGCAUACAAAUUUCUGUAUUUCGGAGGUCGGGGAGAAUUUUGUUUUAGGAUAGUGCUUGUACUUUGGUAUUAUGAUGGGCUACAUGUCUAAGUAGCACCAUCUAGUGGAUAGGAGUCCAAAUGCAGGUAUUUUUUUCCUCGGUGGUGAAGAAGCCAGCAGGACAGACGAGUUUUUCCCCAUUAUAGAAUUUCACACGUGGAUCUGCUGCACAACUUAAUGCGUUUCUCAUGUGGUGUAUCCCCUUCAACAGGCCUGAACAAGAAGAAAAAUGCCCUUCACAACCGAGUGAUCUCGAACUUGGCACCUGUAUAGCAGUGGCAGUAACCAUAACCCGUUUUUUUUUACAAAAAGAGGGAAAAAAAAACUUUCGUUUUUGCCUCUUUACCUAUAAUGGACAAGGGGGGGGUGGUAUUUAAUUACGCAAACCCCCCCCCCAAAAAAAAUAAGGCCGCUUUUUCUUGGUUUGUCUCUUACUCCUGUCUGGUCAGAAGCAGACCGAAACACCAAUCUCAUGGAGAACCUUAGAGCAACAUGCUAGCGAAGGAGUGCAGGCUGAUCGAUCGAUACAGCUCGCUUGCCAUCUUGUAGCCAAUGGACUGGAGGAUCUUAUCCAGUCCGGAUACCGGGAGGGUCAACCCCAUGUGGGAAAUCUUGCUCCAUACCCCCACAACCCUUUGUGUACAGGCACGCUUUUUUUUUUUGGGUUAAAGACACAUCCAUGGAACUGGGGAACCACCUUAGGAGCCCGUGGCACAACCUGCACAGAAAGUGGUUUUUGGCGAACUGUCGGACUUCUAGCAUCGAUGUGGAGCAAGUCUUUAGAAAUCGACAAGAACAGAGCUGACAUGACUCUAGCCUGAACAUUAAUGACAGCAAUAAUAACAUUACCUUCAUUCAGCAUUAAACUUAUUCACCCUGCAAAGCAGGGGUGACCAAAUAAAUGGGUAUCAAAAAUACAGGAUUUGUGCACCACAGCCAGCUCGGGGGUGGCUUAGCAACCCGGUCAAUUCAGUCCCACAGCUGGAUGAGACAGACCGCAGCAGGAGACAGCCCAGUCCGAGUCACGAUACCUGCGUCUCUCGCCUUUCAGGGCUCCGAUCUGCUCCAGCACAGCCCCCCCCGCCGAGGCCAGAAUCGGCUGUGUCCCCAGAGCCUCCCAGAGACUUCACCCAUCUAACCCUGUCCCCCACACACGCAGACUACUGCUGUUCGUAGCGCUGAGAUGGCUUCCUACAAAAAGAGCUGUCGAAAACUACAUAAAAGGAGCUAUUUACUAAUUGACACGGGAGAGGUUAUAAAUGAGGAGAGAUCGUUCUGCUCAUCUACAUCGCUUUGGGGGUUAGCAGCUAAUUGAUCCCAGGAUCCAGCUGUGUCUUGAGAGAAGCCAGGUAUCGGCCUCACCAACAUGGCUGGGUAGCUUUGUUCCAGACUCCCACAACUCUUUGGGUAAAGAUCCACCUCCUGUUCCAGGUUUUUGAGAAAGUUCCGGAAUGUGCGGCAUGACAGGGGUGGGCACAGCUGAUUAAAGCCGGUGUGCUAAUUAUUUUCUUGGUCUAUCGUUAUUAGAAUGUUCUUUUCUCCUCACUCCUCAGCCCGCUGAUGGGAAUGUCCAGGGUCAGGGUGUCUCCUGUUACAGGGGAGAGAGCUUCAACCCCAGCGCCGUGAGGAACAGGGCGGCGUCACGACAAACUUACUCAAACCGCACGAGUCAGCCAGGUCACUGCUAAGCC
rnacentral:lncRNA from 1 species